rnacentral:rRNA from 1 species
GAUGAACGCUGGCGGCGUGCUUAACACAUGCAAGUCGAACGGGAAAUAUUGCAUUGAGCCUUCGGUGGAUUUGCGGUAUUUCUGGGGGCGGACGGGGGAGUACCGCGUGGGUAACCUGCCUUAUACAGGGGGAUAAGAGGCAGAAAUGGCUGCUAAUACCGAAUAAGCGCACAGAGCUGCAUGGCUCAGUGUGAAAGACUCCGGUGGGAUAAGUUGGACCCGCGUUGGAUUAGCUAGAUGGAGUGGUAACGGCCCACCACGGCGACGAUCCAUAGCCUGGCUGAGAGGGUGAGCCGCCACAUUUGCAGUGAGACACGGCCCAGACUCCUACGCGAGGCAGCAGUGGCGAAUAGUGCAAAAUGGCGGAAACGCUGAUGCAGCGACGCCGCGUGAAGGAAGAAGUAUCUCGGUAUGUAAUCUGUUAGCAGCAGGGCAGAUAGUGACGGUACCUGACUAAGAAGCCCCGGCUAACUACGUG